rnacentral:rRNA from 1 species
AGUGAACGCUGGCGGUAGACCUAACACAUGCAAGUCGAACGGCAGCACAGUAAGAGCUUGCUCUUACGGGUGGCGAGUGGCGGACGGGUGAGGAAUACAUCGGAAUCUACUUUUUCGUGGGGGAUAACGUAGGGAAACUUACGCUAAUACCGCAUACGACCUACGGGUGAAAGCAGGGGAUCUUCGGACCUUGCGCGAUUGAAUGAGCCGAUGUCGGAUUAGCUAGUUGGCGGGGUAAAGGCCCACCAAGGCGACGAUCCGUAGCUGGUCUGAGAGGAUGAUCAGCCACAUUGUAACUGAGACACGGCCCAGACGCCUACGGGAGGCAGCAGUGGGGAAUAUUGGACAAUGGGCGCAAGCCUGAUCCAGCCAUACCGCGUGGGUGAAGAAGGCCUUCGGGUUGUAAAGCCCUUUUGUUGGGAAAGAAAAGCAGCAGGUUAAUACCCCGCUGUUCUGACGGUACCCAAAGAAUAAGCACCGGCUAACUUCGUG